rnacentral:rRNA from 1 species
CCUACGGGUGGCAGCAGUGGGGAAUAUUGGGCAAUGGGCGCAAGCCUGACCCAGCAACGCCGCGUGAAGGAAGAAGGCUUUCGGGUUGUAAACUUCUUUUGUCAGGGACGAAGCAAGUGACGGUACCUGACGAAUAAGCCACGGCUAACUACGGGCCAGCAGCCGCGGUAAUACGUAGGUGGCAAGCGUUAUCCGGAUUUACUGGGUGUAAAGGGCGUGUAGGCGGGACUGCAAGUCAGAUGUGAAACCGAUGGGCUCAACCUGUGGCCUGCAUUGGAAACUGUAAUUCUUGAGUGCUGGGGAGGCAGACGGAAUUCCGAGUGUAGCGGGGAAAUGCGUAGAUAUUAGGAGGAACACCAGUGGCGAAGGCGGAUUGCUGGACAGUAACUGACGCUGAGGCGCGAAAGCGUGGGGAGCAAACAGGAUUAGAUACCCGAGUAGUC